CCCAUUCUCUCUCUCAAUUUUCCACUUCCAACAUUCUUCGUGUAAAAUCGAGCCCUAAUUCCACCCCCUUCCAAAAUCGAGUCCUAGCUCUUCUCCUGCCGUCGAAAACCCGCCGCCGCUGCAACUGAAAGACCGGUGAGCGGCCGCUGCCUUCCUCCGCGACGCCGCUGCUUCUGUAAUCCGACGAGAGUCGAUCUCUCCUUCUCUCUGAAUGCACGUGCGCGAGGUCAAAGGGCGGCCCCCAAAAUUCUCUAAGUCUCGAAUCGCCUUCGCCGUGGACUCUGUAAAUCCGGCGACUGCUAGUCAUCGUUCUUCCUCCCAAAUCGGCGACGCCGGUGUAGAGCCUGAGCCCGGCGCCAUUCCUCAUCUCUUCUCCCAUCUGGAAGCUCCGGGAACACGCACACACACACCCGAGGCAGAGGUCGAGCUCUGGUCCUCUCAGCGCACUCUCAAUCUCGCCGUUGCUGCUGCAUUCCUCCCGGCGGCAGGUGAAGGCCCGUCGCCUCCGUCGUCCUCCGAGCUCCGUCGCACCGUCCUUCUUGGUUUCAGAGCAGAGCAGGGCAGUGGCCCCUUUCCUCUUCUAAAGCUAAGUUUUUGUUCUAUCCCCUGUUAUUGUAUUUCGAUUCAUGUCGCUACAUGAUGGGAGUUCUCAUGGCUUUGGUUCUAUGUACAGUGGUAAUAUCUCAAUGUAUGAAUCAUACUAUUUCUGUUGAAGGCCAUAAAUUAUGUACGCAUAUGUGAUUUGCUGCCCCUCUGUAAUAUACUUCAACCUAUAUUUCUGAACUUCUAAUACAUGAUGCGUGGGGUGAAAUGUAUAUGAAGAUAGUGAACUGAGAUAGCAUAAAAUACCUUGAGGUAUAGGUGUUGGUUGGCUGCUGUGGGUGGAUUGUGUUGGUUGGGUGCUGUGGGUGGAUUAAAUGGGAGGAUUCUGAAAUAAAUGAUAUAAAUCAUACUUGUUUCUUUUAAUAAAUGCAGGUUGCAAAUGGAAGAAGAUGAGGGAUAAAUGCCAAGGUGAAUAAUGGAGGAAUGUGGAUGAAUGAAAGCCAAAUCUCACCUUGGAGUUUCUGGCAGCAGCUUAGACUAAUUACUUCCCUUGGUUUGCUGGUGAUUAAGGGAGUGUUUUGGCUGAACUUGUAGGCUAGGAAGGCAAAGGGGCGAUGGAGUGCACUUGAGUGUGCUAAGGAGAUGGUAGUAGGGUGUAGGGGAGGGGAUUGGGAGCUGCUGCCAGCAGCUGCUCUAUUGCAUCUGCACACACGUCUCCUUUUUCCCUUCCCAAUACUUUUGCUUGACUAGCUAGGUAAUAGAAGUAGGAAUUGUAAUAGGUAGGUUGUAAUGAAAUAGGGAUGUACUGAACAGGAAGUUGUAACGUUUGGAAAGAUUGUGGUGUGACUAAAUAAAAUCCCUCUAUCUUGGUAAUUC